AUUGAACGCUGGCGGCAUGCCUUACACAUGCAAGUCGAACGGUAACAGGUCUUCGGAUGCUGACGAGUGGCGAACGGGUGAGUAAUACAUCGGAACGUGCCUAGUAGUGGGGGAUAACUACUCGAAAGAGUGGCUAAUACCGCAUGAGAUCUACGGAUGAAAGCAGGGGAUCGCAAGACCUUGUGCUACUAGAGCGGCCGAUGGCAGAUUAGGUAGUUGGUGGGAUAAAAGCUUACCAAGCCGACGAUCUGUAGCUGGUCUGAGAGGACGAUCAGCCAAACGGGGACUGAGACACGGCCCAGACUCCUACGGGAGGCAGCAGUGGGGAAUUUUGGACAAUGGGCGCAGCCUGAUCAAGCAAUGCCGCGUGCAGGAUGAAGGCCUUCGGGUUGUAAACUGCUUUUGUACGGAACGAAAAGCCCCGGGUUAAUACCCUGGGGUCAUGACGGUACCGUAAGAAUAAGCACCGGCUAACUACGUGCCAGCCGCCGCCGUAA
rnacentral:rRNA from 1 species